GGUAGGGUUAGGGUUAGGUUUAGGGGUAGGGAUAAGGGUUGGGGUAGGGUUAGGGGUAGUGUAAGGUGUAGGUUAGGAGUAGGGUUAGGAAUAGAGUUAAGCCUACCCCAACCACUAACCCUAAUCUUAACCCCUUACCCUACUCUAACCACUAACCCUACCCCAACUGCUAACCCUACCCCUAAACCUAACCUUACUCUAACCCUACUCCUACCCAACCACUAACCCUACCUUAACCCAACCUCUAACCCUACCCCUAACCCUACCACUACCCCAACCACUAACCCUACCUUAACCCUAACCCUACCCUGUGCUCCUAACC